rnacentral:rRNA from 1 species
UACGAAGGGGGCUAGCGUUGCUCGGAAUCACUGGGCGUAAAGCGCACGUAGGCGGGUCCUUAAGUCAGGGGUGAAAUCCUGGGGCUCAACUCCAGAACUGCCUUUGAUACUGGGGAACUUGAGUCCGGGAGAGGUGAGUGGAACUGCGAGUGUAGAGGUGAAAUUCGUAGAUAUUCGCAAGAACACCAGUGGCGAAGGCGGCUCACUGGACCGGUACUGACGCUGAGGUGCGAAAGCGUGGGGAGCAAACAGG